GCGGCGAGCGGGGCGCCAAAGGCGCGCUCGCCUUUGCUGCGGGCGCGGCGCAGUUCAAGCUGCCCGCGCCGUU
rnacentral:tRNA from 1 species